rnacentral:rRNA from 1 species
AUUGAACGCUGGCGGCAGGCCUAACACAUGCAAGUCGAGCGGUAGCACAGAGAGCUUGCUCUCGGGUGACGAGCGGCGGACGGGUGAGUAAUGUCUGGGAAACUGCCUGAUGGAGGGGGAUAACUACUGGAAACGGUAGCUAAUACCGCAUAACGUCGCAAGACCAAAGAGGGGGACCUUCGGGCCUCUUGCCAUCAGAUGUGCCCAGAUGGGAUUAGCUAGUAGGUGGGGUAACGGCUCACCUAGGCGACGAUCCCUAGCUGGUCUGAGAGGAUGACCAGCCACACUGGAACUGAGACACGGUCCAGACUCCUACGGGAGGCAGCAGUGGGGAAUAUUGCACAAUGGGCGCAAGCCUGAUGCAGCCAUGCCGCGUGUAUGAAGAAGGCCUUCGGGUUGUAAAGUACUUUCAGCGGGGAGGAAGGUGCUGAGGUUAAUAACCUCAGCAAUUGACGUUACCCGCAGAAGAAGCACCGGCUAACUCCGUGCCAGCAGCCGCGUAAAC